rnacentral:rRNA from 1 species
ACUCCUACGGGAGGCAGCAGUGGGAAUAUUGGACAAUGGGGACCGGUAGCAUCCAGCCAUGCCGCGCUGUGUGAAGAAGGCCUUUUGGUUGUAAAGCACUUUAAGCGAGGAGGAGGCUUACCUGGUUAAUACCCGGGACUGAAGUAUGGUGCACGUUUAACUCGCAGAAUAAGCACCGGCUAACUCUGUGCCAGCAGCCGCGGUAAUACAGAGGGUGCAAGCGUUAAUCGGAUUUACUGGCGUAAAGCGCGCGUAGGUGGCUAAUU